UGGGGAAUUUUGGACAAUGGGCGAAAGCCUGAUCCAGCAAUGCCGCGUGCAGGAUGAAGGCCUUCGGGUUGUAAACUGCUUUUGUACGGAACGAAAAAGCUCCUUCUAAUACAGGGGGCCCAUGACGGUACCGUAAGAAUAAGCACCGGCUAACUACGUGCCAGCAGCCGCGGUAAUACGUAGGGUGCGAGCGUUAAUCGGAAUUACUGGGCGUAAAGCGUGCGCAGGCGGUUAUGUAAGACAGAUGUGAAAUCCCCGGGCUCAACCUGGGAACUGCAUUUGUGACUGCAUGGCUAGAGUACGGUAGAGGGGGAUGGAAUUCCGCGUGUAGCAGUGAAAUGCGUAGAUAUGCGGAGGAACACCGAUGGCGAAGGCAAUCCCCUGGACCUGUACUGACGCUCAUGCACGAAAGCGUGGGGAGCAAACAGGAUUAGAUACCCUGGUAGUCCACGCCCUAAACGAUGUCAACUGGUUGUUGGGAAUUAGUUUUCUCAGUAACGAAGCUAACGCGUGAAGUUGACCGCCUGGGGAGUACGGCCGCAAGGUU
rnacentral:rRNA from 1 species